CUCAGAGCUCUGCACUCAGGGGCUCAGAAGUUUGUCUCUGGACUAAGUAGGCAGAAGACAAAUUUCCACCAGGAGAAGAAUUUCUGCCAUGCUCUGCCGCAGCCUGCUGUGGGUUUGCUUGGCUUCCUUUGGCUUCGCACCCUGAUUUUAAUUGCUAAUAAGUAGCCAAAGAAGAUGAUGAUAAAAGAAUAUCCCAUAAGGCAAAUCCAGAGAAUGUGAAAAACAAUAGACAAAAAGAGUUUCUUGCGAAAAACACAAUUG
rnacentral:lncRNA from 1 species